UACGUAGGUGGCAAGCGUUGUCCGGAAUUAUUGGGCGUAAAGCGCGCGCAGGCGGUCUCUUAAGUCUGAUGUGAAAUCUCGCGGCUCAACCGUGAGCGGUCAUUGGAAACUGGGAGACUUGAGUGCAGAAGAGAAGAGCGGAAUUCCACGUGUAGCGGUGAAAUGCGUAGAGAUGUGGAGGAACACCAGUGGCGAAGGCGGCUCUUUGGUCUGUAACUGACGCUGAGGCGCGAAAGCCAGGGGAGCAAACGGG
rnacentral:rRNA from 1 species